rnacentral:tRNA from 1 species
GUUUCUGUAGUGUAGUGGUUAUCACGUUUGCUUUACAUGCAAAAGGUCGCUAGUUCGAGACAGCAGCA